rnacentral:rRNA from 1 species
CGUAGGGGAACCUGCGGAGGGAUCAUUACACAAUACAAUAUGAAGGCUGUCCGCAGCUGGAGUAUUUUAUUACCCUUGUCUUUUGCGCACUUGUUGUUUCCUGGGCGGGUUCGCUCGCCACCAGGACCACCAAAUAAACCUUUUUUAUGCAGUUGCAAUCAGCGUCAGUACAAACAAUGUAAAUCAUUUACAACUUUCAACAACGGAUCUCUUGGUUCUGGCAUCGAUGAAGAACGCAGCGAAAUGCGAUACGUAGUGUGAAUUGCAGAAUUCAGUGAAUCAUCGAAUCUUUGAACGCACAUUGCGCCCUUUGGUAUUCCAAAGGGCAUGCCUGUUCGAGCGUCAUUUGUACCCUCAAGCUUUGCUUGGUGUUGGGCGUUUUUGUCUUUGGUCGCCCAAAGACUCGCCUUAAAGUGAUUGGCAGCCGGCCUUUCUGGUUUCGCAGCGCAGCACAUUUUUGCGCUUGCCAUCAGCAAAACGGCAAUCCAUCAAGCCUCCUUCUCACGUUUGACCUCGGAUCAGGUAGGGAUACCCGCUGAACUUAAGCAUAUCAAUAGGCGG